AGGGUCCACCCGUUCCCAUCCCGAACACGGAAGUUAAGCUCACUUGCGCCGAAAAUACUUGUCUGGAGACGGACCGGGAAGAUAGGUAACGCCGACA
rnacentral:rRNA from 1 species